AACGAACGCUGGCGGCAUGCCUAACACAUGCAAGUCGAACGGAAAUGCUUAGCUUGCUUUGCAUUUUAGUGGCGGACGGGUGAGUAACGCGUGGGGACCUGCCCUGGAGUGGGGAACAACGACGGGAAACUGUCGCUAAUACCGCAUACGCCCUGAGGGGGAAAGGCUUUGGCCGCUCUAGGAUGGACCCGCGUCGGAUUAGCUAGUUGGUGGGGUAACGGCCUACCAAGGCGACGAUCCGUAGCUGGUCUGAGAGGAUGAUCAGCCACACUGGGACUGAGACACGGCCCAGACUCCUACGGGUGGCAG
rnacentral:rRNA from 1 species